AAGAACCUGCAGCUACAGGUUCUUUCUCAGUGUGAUCUUAAUGAGACUCUUCUGAAGUGCUCAUAACUUUCCUAAGAACAUUCCCAGCAUCUGAUCAUCACUGCAGAAAUGGUGAAAACAAGAGGUCACCUCCUAUAUUUUCAAGACAAGAAAACAGAGAAGCAAGUGUCAGUCCUGGGAUUCAUCCCCAGGCCUCCUGGCCAUCUGUUCAGGUUUCCUUCCUGCAGACCAGGCCAUCUCAAUGACCUUCAGAAGGUGGCCAAGGACCCUGUGAUUCUGUGACAUGGCUGGCCAGUCAUGUUAUACUGUGUCUGUGUAUUUAUGUGUACCUAUGGUAGACAUGAGAUGCUCUGUCCAGGUGUCCAGAUCUUCCUUCAAGAAAGAAGGAUCAAACAGCCUCCAGCAUCAGGAGCUUCAGGGUUGGCCUCAGCUGCUGAGAACUGCCUCACUUGCGGUCAAAUCUUUCCAGGACAACCUGUGUCAGAUGACUGAGCAAGACGGGUCAUAAAAGUCCGGCCACUUUGGCCUCACUUGGGACAGCUCUGACAGGCAAUAUUUGAUCUGAAACUUCCUGCCAGAUUGGCAGGAGCUUUGUCAGGCCUGCAUCAACAUUUGCCUUCUCCCUCUGCCCGAUCCUGCAUCUGCCCGCUUCUUUCCACAGGUAUGGAUACAUAGUAAACAUUCUUACCUCAUAUUCUGUCCCAGCAUCUGCUUCCAGACAACCCAGCCUGUGACAGUCCCCUGUCUUUUCUCUCCCAUUUGACAAAGAACACUGUCAGAGAUUAGAGAGACAAGACAGGCUGUAGAUGAAUGGCCCACUGGCAUAUUUUGAUUGGCCUGUACAGUUGUAUUAGUCUGUUUUCAUGCUGCUAAUAAAGACAUACCUGAGACUGGGUAAUUUAUAAAGGAAAAGAGGUUUAAUGGACUCAUAGUUCCACGUGGCUGAGGAGGCCUCAUAAUCAUGGUGGAAGGCAAAAGGCAUGUCUUACAUGGCAGCAGCCAAGACAGAAAUGAGAGCCAAGUGAAAGGGAUUUCCCUUUAUAAAACCAUCAGAUCCUGUGAGACUUAUUCCCUACCAGGAGAACAGUAUGGGGGAAACUGCCCCUGUGAUUCAAUUAUCUCCCACGAGGUCCCACAACACUUGGGAAUUAUGGGAGCUAUAAUUCAAAAUGAGAUUUGGGUGGGAACACAGCCAAACCAUAUCUGCAGUGUGGUUUGUAUACAGAUGAGUCAGUAUAGAAAAAUUGGAAUAUUACCCAUAAAAUCUAAAUUUCUAUAUUCUAUUUAAAAAUUAGAUGAUCAGGCAACAUUGGCCCUUUAUUCUUGAAUAAGAGACUAUUGGUUGGGGCUGAAGAGUGGCUUCCUCCUUUAGAGAGACGAGUUCUCCAGCUUGUCAAAGUCCCCAGAACUUUCUACAGACUUGUACCUGUUCACCUCCCUCCCUUGUGUUAUCUCCCUGACUCCUAUGAACAUCUGAGCUUUUCUUUUGACAAAUAUAGAUGGUUCAACAGAUGGAAAGCAGAAUCUUUCCUGUGCUACCAUAUCUUUUUGAUUCGAUAUGGAUCUUUAAGAAUUGGAUUUCUCUCGGUUUAAGGCCACGAGAGCCUUUUGCUGGGUCCUUGGUUUAGCUAAGCACUCAGGGCCACUAUCGCUGCCCUCUGUCACUCACCACCCCCAGAAAAAGGUGUUCUCCAUGGACACAUGGCAGGGAACAACACAUACUGGGGCCUGUCGGGGGAUAGGGGGUGGGAGGAGGG
rnacentral:lncRNA from 10 species